rnacentral:sRNA from 1 species
CGCUCACGCUGGCGAGGUGCUGACCGCCGGGGCGUGGGGGACACUCGAGCACUGGGGGGAUGCCGUGAGAAGCUCGACGCGCUGGCGAAGAUAGAGGCGCGAGGCGAAAAGUCUGUCGGGC